rnacentral:lncRNA from 1 species
UAAGAACUCAGGAUUUGGGGAGUUGGCAAACAAAUACACUUGACGUGUUUAUGAAGGAAAUUUUUUCUGUUUAGGAAGGAAGGUGGCAACACAGAACAUCUGCUUCCUCUCCAUCAGUCUGCUGUGUGGCCUGCCUCAGUGCCAUUGAGAAGGCCCAAAGUACAGCCUGAAACCCGGUGAAUGUGGCAGUGUCUUUAGCUGUAGGGAGCUGACAGGUUCUGCUGAGCUGACGAGAGCUGCUUUUAUGGGUAUGGGAGGCCAAGCUGGACAAGCACAACACCAUCAUCAACAGAAGGCAACCAGUACUUCUCCCAGCGCUAUGAUGUGGUAUGGUGUGAUGUAGUGCAAAUGUCUCCUGAGGCACCUCCGAUACGCUGGGCUUUGCUCCUCCAAAGCUGAGAGGUAAGUCAACUGAACCACCUGUGCUUAAUGUGGUGUAGGCCAAGUAGUAAAGCAGACAGAAGGUCUGUGCAGCAGCCCCAUCCCUGAUGAACUUCCA